CUUGGUCGAAGAGGAUGACCAUCCCUGAUAGAGGAGGGCCGUUCUUCCAUCAAGGGUAUACGAGUAGCUGCACUCCCCUGCUAGAACCUCCAAACGAAAUACUGGCCCAAGGAAGAAGAAAACC
rnacentral:sRNA from 1 species